GACAGAGGGGGCAAGCGUUGCUCGGAAUCACUGGGCGUAAAGGGCGCGUAGGCGGUCACGCACGUCCGUUGUGAAAUCGCUCGGCUCAACUGGGCGGGGUCAGCGGAUACGGCGUGGCUGGAGCAAGCUAGGGGGCAAUGGAAUUCCCGGUGUAGUGGUGGAAUGCGUAGAUAUCGGGAGGAACACCAGUGGCGAAGGCGGUUGCCUGGAGCUUUGCUGACGCUGAUGCGCGAAAGCGUGGGGAGCGAUCCGG
rnacentral:rRNA from 1 species